CACAGCAGGGACAUCGGGGACAUUGGGGACAUCGGGGUAUUGGGGACAUCGGGGACAUUGGGGACAUCAGAGGUACAAUGUCCAACCCGACACCGUGGGGCCCAUCUGGAACCUGAGCAAGGCCUGGCACUGGCUCAGUGUCACCGUCACCUGCCGAGGGACAUCGGGGACAUCGGGGACAUCCGGGACCUGCACAGGGUCCUCAGCAAGGCCUGGCACUGGCUCAGUGUCACCGUCACCUGCUGAGGGACCCUGGGGACAUCAGGGAUCCCUGGAGAUCAAUGGGAUGUGUGGAACCUAAAGGGUUCCAUGGCUUCAAAGAGUCCUGCAGACCCCAAAGUGUCCUACAGACCCCAAAAUGUCCUAGAGACCCCAAAAUGUCCUAGAGACCCUAAAAUGUCCUAGAGACCCCCAAGAGUCCUACAGACCCCAAAAUGUCCUACAGACCCUAAAAUAUCCUAGAGACCUUAAAAUGUCCUACAGACCCCAAAGUGUCCUAGAGACCCUAAAAUGUGCUAGAGACCCCAAAGAGUCCUGCAGACCCCAAUGGGUUCCAUGGCCCAAAGUGUCCUAGAGACCCUAAAAUGUGCUAGAGACCCCAAAGAGUCCUGCAGACCCCAAUGGGUUCCAUGGCCCCAAAGUGUCCUAGAGACCCUAAAAUGUGCUAGAGACCCAAAGAGUCCUGCAGACCCCAAUGGGUUCCAUGGCCCCAAAGUGUCCUAGAGACCCUAAAAUGUGCUAGAGACCCCAAAAGAUCCUGCAGACCCCAAAGUGUCCUAUGGACCCCAAAGAGUCCUGCAGACCCCAAAAUGUCCUGCAGACCCCCAUGGGUUCCAUGGCCCCAAAAUGUCCUACAGACCCCAAAAUGUCCUGCAGACCCCAAAGUGCCCUGCAAACCCCAAAAGGUCCUACAGACCCUAAGGAUUCCAUGGCCCCAAAGUGCCCUUACAGACCCCAAUGGGUUCUAUAGACCCAAAAUGUCCUGCAGACCCCAAAUGUCCUGCAGACCCCCAGCUUCUAUUGACCCCAAAAGGUUCCACAGACCCCAAAAGGACUUUAUGACCCCAAAAGGAUUUUAUAGACCCCAAAGAAUCCACAGACCCCAAAAGGUUUUAUGGCCCCUCAAAGGAUUUUAUGGCUCCCUAAAAGAUUUUAUGGACUCCAAAAGAUUUUAUGGACUCCAGAGGAUUUUAAUGAACCCCAAAGGGUUCUGGUGACCCCAAAGAUUUCUGCGGCCCGAAGGAUCCUGCGGGCUCCUGCAGCCCCACAGCUCGAAGGUCAGCAGGGUUUUAUGGCCCCCACA